GAGGACUGGACAUUCACUGACUUGCUGUUGGAAGGUUCCAAAAUCCAUUUAUUCAUACAAGGAUCUUUUGUAUGCAUAAGCUUCAUUUUUUGAGCUGACCUUUGAGACACAUCCCUGAUGAAGUCUUGAUAUUAGACGAAACGCGUUGGGCUAUUACUCUGUUUUCUGAUGUUAUCUCCGAAUACUCAAUAAGGAAGAUUAAGGACACAGGCAGAAGUUUAUCUGCACCCUUCCACAAAACAUAGAUUUGCAUCUUGUUAAUUAUGUAAUAUGAUGGAC